AAUGAACGUUGGCGGCGUGGAUUAGGCAUGCAAGUCGUGCGAGAAGUUUUCUAGCUUGCUAGAGAAUGGACAGCGGCGAAAGGGAGAGUGACGCGUGGAUUAUCUGCCUCAAGAUCUGGGAUAGCGGCGGGAAACUGCCGGUAAUACCGGAUAAUGUCUCCGGACCAAAGGUGAGAUUCCGUCUUGAGAUGAGUCCGCGUCCUAUUAGCUUGUUGUGGGGUAAUGGCCUACCAAGGCUUAGAUGGGUACCGGGUGUGAGAGCAUGACCCGGCUCACUGGGACUGAGACACUGCCCAGACACCUACGGGUGGCUGCAGUCGAGAAUCUUCGGCAAUGGACGAAAGUCUGACCGAGCGACGCCGCGUGCGGGAUGAAUGCCUUCGGGUUGUAAACCGCUGUCAGAGAGGCGGGAAAUGCAUGGUGGCAAUCCAUCAUGUUUGACCUAUCCUCAGAGGAAGUACGGGCUAAGUUCGUG
rnacentral:rRNA from 1 species